rnacentral:rRNA from 1 species
GACGAACGCUGGCGGCGUGCCUAACACAUGCAAGUCGAACGAGAUCCAUGGGAGCUUGCUCCCGGAAGAUCUAGUGGCGAACGGGUGAGUAACACGUGAGAAACCUGCCCUGGAGUGGGGAAUAACUCGGGGAAACUCGAGCUAAUACCGCGUACCCUCAGAUGGUCGCAUGGCCGACUGAGGAAAGAACUUCGCUCUAGGAGGGUCUCGCGGCCUAUCAGCUAGUUGGUGGGGUAAUGGCCCACCAAGGCUACGACGGGUAGCUGGUUUGAGAGAACGAUCAGCCACACUGGGACUGAGACACGGCCCAGACUCCUACGGGAGGCAGCAGUGGGGAAUCUUGCGCAAUGGGCGAAAGCCUGACGCAGCAACGCCGCGUGCGGGAUGACGGCCUUCGUGGUUGUAAACCGCUUUCAGCAGGGACGAAAAUGACGGUAC